rnacentral:misc_RNA from 1 species
AGAGAACCCAAUACGACAUUACGAUUGACAAUUCCAUGAACUAAUAGACUGCAUCCCAAAAAGAACAGAUACGCACUACAGGCAUGAAGAAAUUAACUAAGACACAUUUCCUCCAUAGCUCAAGAAAUAAAUCCAAAGUUCAAUGAGAGCAAAAAAAGACUCAUCAAUCACAACUCCUAGAACAAGUAAACUAUGAGAAAAGAAAUAAUUUCUCGAAGAGCAUCACGUAUGAUCCAAGAGAUAGGUAAACAGAAAUGCG